GAUGAACGCUGGCGGCGCGCCUAACACAUGCAAGUCGAACGAUUAAAGCACCUUCGGGUGUGUAUAAAGUGGCGAACGGCUGAGUAACACGUGGGCAACCUGCCCCUUUCAUUGGGAUAGCCACGGGAAACCGUGGAUAAUACCGAAUACUUCGAGACUUCCGCAUGGAAGACUCGAGAAAGCUCCGGCGGAGGGGGAUGGGACCGCGGCCUGUUAGCUUGUUGGUGGGGUAACGGCCUACCAAGGCAAUGAUGGGUAGCUGGGUUGAGAGGCCGACCAGCCAGAUUGGGACUGAGACACGGCCCAGACUCCUACGGGAGGCAGCAGUGGGGAAUCUUGCACAAUGGGCGAAAGCCUGAUGCAGCGACGCCGCGUGCGGGAUGAAGGCCUUCGGGUUGUAAACCGCUUUCAGCAGGGACGAGGCGAAAGUGACGGUACCUGCAGAAGAAGCCCCGGCUAACUACGUG
rnacentral:rRNA from 1 species